GAUCCUGGCUCAGGAUGAACGCUAGCUACAGGCUUAACACAUGCAAGUCGAGGGGCAGCAUGGACCCAGCUUUGCUGGGUUUGAUGGCGACCGGCGCACGGGUGAGUAACGCGUAUCCAACCUGCCCUUUACUCCGGGAUAGUCUUCUGAAAGGGAGUUUAAUACCGGAUGUGUUUGUCUUUCCGCAUGGGAGCGACAAAUAAAGAUUGAUUGGUAAAGGAUGGGGAUGCGUCCCAUUAGCUUGUUGGG
rnacentral:rRNA from 1 species